rnacentral:tmRNA from 1 species
GGGGGCGUUACGGAUUCGACAGGUAUAGUUCGAGCUUGAAUAGCGCUUCGUAGGUUGCGACUACGUAAAAACGCUCAGUUAAAUAUAACUGCAAAAAACGAAAACAACUCUUUCGCUUUAGCUGCCUAAUAAGUAGUUAGCGAAGAUCCUCCUGGCAUCGCCCAUGUGCUCAGGUAAGGGUCUCAAACUCAGUGGGAUACAUCAGGUGUUUCCGUCUGCAAUGCCUGAAAGAGAUUAUCAGACUAGCAACCUUUAAAGCCCGUCAUGCGGCGAUACAGGGAGCGAAACUUUAAGUAGCAUGUCUAUAAGCGUAGAAUUUCAGGGGGCGAUAUGCUUGGACGCGGGUUCGACUCCCGCCGCCUCCAUUU